AUGAAAAUAAAGCUCAUUAAAAAAUGUACCUCUUCAAUAGAUAUAGCUUGACUGAUUUGUAGUUUAGGAUCAAUCCGUCGUCUUCAACAAAACAAUUCUUCUUCUUUGAUGGCAAGAGAGGGAGACGAAGAGACAUGUACUAUAAAAGGCAAUUAAGGGAGUGGAAAAGUGGUCCAUCCAUUACCCUUUUCGCUCUCUGUAAUUGUAAUGUAUAAAUAAGGGCAUUUUAGUCUUUUCAGUUCAUCUUAACGAGCAAAUCGGACCUGUGCCGCUGCUGCUGCUGGGAAAACGCCGCUUCCCGUACUGCCAUCUCAACGGUAACAUUGUCCUUUUUUGUUUAGUUUAUCUUUAUAUUCUAUGGAAUCAGUUCAUCCUUGCAUUUAUAUUUAACUUCAUGUCGGUUUGAAGAAGAAAGAGAUUAAUUUAGUCCAAAGAGAUCCCAGGUGUAAUAGCUUUGAGUAUAUUUUACUUGGAUUUUAUUUAGCUUUCAUAAGAUUAAUCUAGGAAUUGUUCUUUUCCUCAUGAUUUUGAUUAAAUUGUGAUUAGUAAUUGUAUCCAUACAUUGAGGGUUGGAAAAAUAUGUUCAAAAUUGCUAAAAUUUUCUCUGAUCCUGUAAUGUUAUUGUUUUUUCCUUUUGCUAGGCUGUUCAACCUUUAUCUUAGCAAAAAGAAUAAGUGCAAUGUUGCGGAAAUUGUUAACAGACGGCUCUGUGCGGCAACCAUGAUGGCGGAUGAUGUCAAAUCGACGCUCCACUGUUAGUUGUUAAACUUAUUUUUUUUUAUUUUUAGUUUGCUGUCAUAACCUUCAGCUGGAAAUUGUAGCUGUAAGCAUUUAAGUUUUUAUUUGUUUUAUUUCUCCAUAAAAUAAGGACUAGUUAGUUA
rnacentral:lncRNA from 1 species